rnacentral:tRNA from 1 species
CAGUAGCUCAAUGGAUAGAGCAUCUGACUUCGGAUCAGAGUGUUGGGGGUUCGAGUCCUCUCUG